rnacentral:lncRNA from 1 species
UAAGUGGGAGUAGCUCCUAAGUAGCCUAGACGCUGAUUCAGGCCCGGACUGUGCGGGACCAGGGCCAGGGAACUCCGGGGAGACUCCCCUGUCCAAACUGUGGAAACCCAGCGUUAGCACUGGACUCAGGAAUUUGCCAGUGCCGUCGGUCUGCGGACUUCAAAAAGUGGAAUGCGUGGCGCCGGCUCCGCUUCUAUCUGGGAUUUAUGAUUCCUUUCCCGCAGUGUGGAGACUGGGCUGGGCGAAGCCCACUCAGCUGUUUGUUGCGCAGACCUUUCGAGAAACACAAGAUCGCUGAGGGCCCCUGGGAGCCCAAGAAAGAAAGCUCUUCAUCUUGUUCCCCAACCCACAGAGCAGUGCGCCAAGUAGCGACUCUUUAAGCCCUGGGCCACCAACCAGCCCACUCCCCGAAGGCAGACGGGCCCGGGGCGCUGUGGCUUGAUUUGCAGGUGGUUAGGUGGUUGUCGUCCGCAGCGGGAAUGGACGCUGCGGAACCCCAGCACUCUUCCACUCUGCCCUCCCUCGCGAAGCGCAACAGCUUGGCGUCGGGGAGCCAGGGCUGCGUUGUUGGCGCCACAGCUGGCCAAGCAGCCAUGCAAGGGAGGAAGAGGAGUUAUCAAUAACCCCAUUAUGCAGAGGAGGAAACUGAAUCUCAGAGAAGGGAAGAAAAUAUCCUGUGCCCACUCAGCUAGUAAGUGGCAGAAGUGAGAGCUAGAACCUAGAUCUGUUGGACUCCAAGGAAAUGGGACUGAAGGCCCUUGCCCUUUCCCAUCUUCUGAAGGAAGAAAAUAUGUUUCUUGAAGAUUAAAAAGGAAGCCC